GGAAUUUUCCGCAAUGGGCGAAAGCCUGACGGAGCAAUACCGCGUGAGGGAUGACGGCCUAUGGGUUGUAAACCUUUUUUCUCAGGGAGGAAAUCAAUGACGUACCUGAGGAAUAAGCAUCGGCUAACUCCGUGCCAGCAGCCGCGGUAAUACGGGAGUGGCAAGCGUUAUCCGGAAUUAUUGGGCGUAAAGCGUCCGCAGGCGGUCUGUCAAGUCUGCUGUUAAAGCGUGGAGCUUAACUCCAUUUCGGCAGUGGAAACUGACAGGCUAGAGUGUGGUAGGGGCAGAGGGAAUUCCCGGUGUAGCGGUGAAAUGCGUAGAUAUCGGGAAGAACACCAGUGGCGAAGGCGCUCUGCUGGGCCAUCACUGACGCUCAUGGACGAAAGCCAGGGGAGCGAAAGGGAUUAGAUACCCCAGUAGUC
rnacentral:rRNA from 1 species